UACGUAGGUGGCAAGCGUUAUCCGGAUUUACUGGGUGUAAAGGGCGUGUAGGCGGGAAAGCAAGUCAGAUGUGAAAACCAUGGGCUCAACCUGUGGCCUGCAUUUGAAACUGUUUUUCUUGAGUACUGGAGAGGCAGACGGAAUUCCUAGUGUAGCGGUGAAAUGCGUAGAUAUUAGGAGGAACACCAGUGGCGAAGGCGGGUUCCUGGACAUUAACUGACGCUGAGGCACGAAGGCCAGGGGAGCGAAAGGG
rnacentral:rRNA from 1 species